CCACACUCACCCGCUGACAUGUCCUCCCUCAGAACCACCCUGGCUCCUGCUGCCGUCAAGGUGAAGGCCCACAUUUCUAGAUGCCCUCGGACCUGGUACCAAGCGCCUCGGGCAUGUGCUGUCCCUGGUCCCCGCCUCCUGGUCCUGCCACAGCCCAGGGAGCAGCUUCCCCUCCCGCACCCCACGCCCAGCCCCCAGCACGUGCUCUCUCCUGCGAACAGUGAGCGGGCAGCGGCUGUGACAGGCCCGGUGAGUUCAUGGUGUCCGUCUCCCCUUUCCUGCGCACAGCGAGGCACACGGGUCCCCUGAGUAAUGAGAGGAGUGUCCCAGCCCUCAGGAGGGGGCAGCUUCCUCGCUGGAUCCCGGGCCUCUGAAUUCCUUUCCAGUGCUCCUCCCAGGCCCCUGCUGUCCACCCCCCACGCCCCGUGUCACCUCUCGUGGCUUCCCAGGGCCACUGAAGCCGUGCCCCUCUCCUCCCUCCACAUCCCUUCAGAAGCAGCGGAGACCCGGAUGUGGCCACUGCCUAGCUGUGUGACUCAAGAAUGGAGGAAACCCUGGUGGAAUCCCGCUGUCCUUUUCCAGGACUCAAGACGUCCAUCUGUCCCCUGGAAAUGCUCCCAGUAGGCCACUCUGGAGAUCUGACAGAGCUUUUAUUGCUAAGUGUGAAUGAGCCAGUGCAGAGGAGCCCAGGGCUGGGGUCUAGAUCACUCUUCUCUCUCACUGUGUGGCCUUGGACAAGUACCUUACCCUCUCUGGGCCUCCUUCUUCAAGGGAUCUCUCCACCUCCAACAGACAAGGCUCCUUUGUGUCCCUAACAUAGUACAGGUCUGGGACUGCCUUGGAGAUAUAGUAUGGACCCCAUUGUCCCCUGCUCUGAGGACCUGGGCUCCCGAGCCCCAUGCUGGAGCCCCUUCCUACAGGACCCUGUGUCUCGGGCUGCCACAGUGGAGGUACCCGAGACCCCUGAUUGGCCCACCUGGGCUCCAGAAGCUCCUAAGUCCACCCCAGGAGGCAGCUCUGCUCUCCCAAGUGUUCUGCGAACUACAAUACCUCGGAAGGAAGCCAACGUUUAGUGAAGACAUUGACCUUGUCAACAAAAAUAAAAACAAAGCCCGUAUUUCACGAAUGUGCACACGCUGGCUCUGACUGAGGUCUUCUGGCUUCUCGAUGGUGUGACAGUGUGUGUCUGCAGAACGUACUUCAUGCUUCCAACUUGGGUCUUCUCCUGGGCUAGCAAUAGGAGCAUCCUGUUCCUGUCCCCUGGGCUUGGGCUGUUACUAAGCUCCGGGGGCAGCAGGCUCGGUGGCUGAAGGCAUUUGAGACUUGAGUUCACACUUACCAGGACGUAACCCGUGGUGAGCUGCGCGGCAUCUGUGUGCGUUGUCUGCAUAAACACAGAGCUCGUUACAAAACAUCAUAAAGGGAGGUUCCACCCACUCAACAGAAACGGGGAAGAGUCGGGGGACGCGGACUCUGCCUGCUGGACAUGUCCACACGCUCCACAGCCACCUCCAGCUGCCGCUUGGCCUUGGAGCCCUGCUCCUGCUCCUCCUCGGGGCUCCGGGAAGCGGAGUCCAGCCUCCGGGCUUUGCUCUGGAAGUUUCCGCACCUGAAGGGGCCUCCAUUCAGGGUGGUCUUGCUGUUCUCCAAGGCGAAGGCGAGGGUGGUGGGCAAGGGUUUGGGGCCCUGAGCUCAGAAAGGCCGGGUCCCGGUGCCACCUGCACCCCUCCUGCGACUUACGCAGGCCCUAGAGCCUCGGGUCUCUGAAGGGGAUCCCGAGUGUGUCCUCCAUCUGCUCUGAGUUGCUCUAAGGUGCCAAGGACGCUGCCUGGCAUGGGCUCUCUGCAGGAUUUUAGGACACCAGCGAUUAAAUAAUCACGAGAGCCACAGAUAGCACACCCUUGCUGACUGCUCAGUGCAGGCCCUUCUCGCCUCCCUCAGCAGGGGACACAGUGUGGCAAUGUGGUGCCACCUGUCCAGAAACCGUCACCUUGUUCCCAGGACAUGCAGGGCCUAACAUGUCAGGUUGAGUGACCAAGCACCCAGCAUGGCUGCCUCGGGUCUGGUCAUCACCGACACACUGCUUGAGCACCGGCGGCGCACCCUGGCUGGGACUGGUUAACUGCAUCCCUCGACCUCCCCUUGUGAUGCCUAAAUUUCCCAAGACGUGUGGUAUGCAGUAGGUGCUCAGCAAAUGUGUGUUGCUGGUGGGGCUGCGGGUGCAGAGGGUGGACCAGCUGCAGGAUCCCAUCAAAGCCCGACCUCAGGGCAACCGCCACCCGGAGCCGAUCCCAGACGGUCUGAGACUUUGAUUUUCAAACCGCAUGAAUGUGUCGCUAAUGGCUCAGCCGCUACUGUUGCAUAGCAAAUUACCCCCAAAUGCAACAGCUAAAGCAACUGUUUUAUUUCGCUGGGACGUUGUGGUCAGGAAUACGAGAGGCGUGGCCGGCAUUUCUUGUUUGGGGUCUCCUAGGCCACUGUGGUCAGAGGCUGGCCGGGGCUGUGUCCAUCUGAAGGCUUGACAGGCUGGAAGUCCAAGUGGAAGCCUCACACAGCUGGUGGCCGAUGCUGCCUGGUGGCCAGGAGCUGGGCGGGCCGGUGGCUGGAGGGCUCCAUGUGGCCUCCCAGGGUGGCAGUCUGUGUGAAAGCUGGCUUCUCCUGCACGAGCCUCCCUGACCCACCAGGCUGCGGCUGUGCCGCCUUUUACAACCCAACCUCGGAGGUCACUUUGUGUCCCCUUCAUCACACUCUGGGUGGAAGCAGACACAAGGCCACCCAGAUUCACAGGGAGGGGGGCACGAAGCCCACCCCUUGAAGAGUAUCAAAGAAUUUGAGCCA
rnacentral:lncRNA from 1 species